AGAUCAGUUUGCUAUCGAGUUUGCUAGCUAGCGACCGCUGCAUAUAUCGAUCACCGGCCAAUUUGUUUCUUCAAGUGCGAAAUAAUCUUUUUUCCUGGUGAUCAGGAAUAUUUCGAUCAGAGACUGACAAACAACAAAAAGGCCAACAGUAGUGAUAAUCGAUUACUCAAGUUAAGCUGCUAGCUAGUUUCUGAUAUUCAUUGUGAAGUAUGGUGAGACUUCCUGAGUUAGAGCACUCUAGCCACCCAGAACACGUGCUAAAGUGGAUCAAUGGCGUCGAAACACCUUAUAAAUGUGAUGGCUGUAAACAAGAAGGGUUUCAUCCUUGUUACCAGUGUAUCGAAAAUGGGUGCGACUUUCAUCUUCAUGAGCAGUGCGCUGCGGUUGAUCGCCUCAGCUACAUCACCCACCCGUUUUUCGGCAACACAUGGUUAAUAUUUCAUAAUAAACAUCUUCCGGCCAUCAAGGUCUAUUGGGUUGUGUGUUGCUUGUGGGAAGGGCGUCCAGGGGUUCAGGUACCAAUCUUAUUGUAAUAAAGCACACGUAAUACAUCCUUGUUGUUUGAAGCUCCCGCCCGCUUUGUCAGCUCCUCAAGGUGAUCAGGCGGUGAACCUGGAGCUACAUAAGAAGGCCAAAUGCUGGCCCACCUCAAAGUCAUGUCUAAGAUGCCAAAACAGAAAGAUCUCAAAAGGUAUCCAUGGCUGGGUUUAUGUCUCCACCAAUGACGAUUUCUGUUACCAUGUGGCGUGCGUUCAGGACUUGAUUUUGGAUAAAUGGAGGACCGAUCAACUCCAAUCUCCAAAUGGUGAUCCGGGAAGGCAAACCAUACAAUUGGCAAUUGAGAUAGUAAGUUACCUACAAGGAAGGUUCGCAAGAUGCACUUGGGGCUGAUAAAAAUGGCUCUUCAUCUCGUUAUUACUGCAAUCUUAGGAGAAGCAAUAGGUGGGAUGAUUGAUCUUAUUUGAUAGUUUUUAUUGAUCAUGAUCAAUUUGUAACCGGACCCGAAAAUAGAGAAUUAAUUACUCUCAGGCUUCAGCGGGCAGUACUCCCAAUAUGCUGCAUGCAUGUUCUAGUCAUCUACGUAUAUGAAUUACCUUUUCUUUGUA